rnacentral:rRNA from 1 species
CUCGCGGCCUAUCAGCUUGUUGGUGGGGUGAUGGCCUACCAAGGCGGUGACGGGUAGCCGGCCUGAGAGGGUGGACGGUCACACUGGGACUGAGACACGGCCCAGACUCCUACGGGAGGCAGCAGUGGGGAAUAUUGCACAAUGGGCGCAAGCCUGAUGCAGCGACGCCGCGUGAGGGAUGGAGGCCUUCGGGUUGUACGACCUUCUUCCGCAGUAGAGCGACGCUGCCCUUGUGGGUGGGUUGACGGUAGCUGGAUAAGAAGCGCCGGCUAACUAC